UACGAAGGGGCUAGCGUUGCUCGGAAUGACUGGGCGUAAAGGGCGCGUAGGCGGCUUGCACCGUCAGAUGUGAAAUUCCUGGGCUUAACCUGGGGGCUGCAUUUGAUACGUGUGGGCUUGAGUGCGGAAGAGGGUCGUGGAAUUCCCAGUGUAGAGGUGAAAUUCGUAGAUAUUGGGAAGAACACCGGUGGCGAAGGCGGCGACCUGGUCCGUGACUGACGCUGAGGCGCGAAGCGUGGGGAGCAAACAGG
rnacentral:rRNA from 1 species